rnacentral:rRNA from 1 species
AUGCCACUUUCCAUGGUGUCUGAUCGUGAUCGUGUCUUUACUAGCAAGUUUUGGAAGGAAUUAUUUCAAAGGUGUGGAGUUCUUCUCAGAAUGAGCACGGCUCGUCAUCCGCAAUCUGAUGGGCAGACGGAAAGAGUUAACCAGCAAGUCGAAUGUUUCCUCCGAUGUUUUGUAAGUGCUCAUCCUUCUCGGUGGUCCAAAUGGAUUCCAUUAUGUGAGUUCUGGUAUAACACUAAUUGGCACUCAGCUACUGGAAAAACUCCAUUUGAAAUCAUAUAUGGCCAUGCCCCACGCCAUUUUGGUUUGAAGGCAGACGAUGCAAUUCAGUCAGAGGACUUGCAUCUGUGGCUUGCGGAUAGGCAGGUCAUUCUGGAGUCAGUGCGUCAGCACCUGCUGCGAGCACAGCAGCGCAUGAAGAUACAAGCAGACAAGCAUUGAAGUGAUCGUGAAUUUGUAUGGGAUCAGGUUUUUCUGAAACUGCAACCUUAUUUGCAAUCAUCAGUCGCUCCUAGGGCCAAUCAUAAACUGGCAUUUAAGUUUUAUGGGCCAUUUGAGGUACUGGAACGCAUUGGGGCAGUGGCUUAUCGGCUCAAAUUGCCAGAGGACAGUAAAGUUCAUCCGGUGUUUCAUGUAUCUCUCCUAAGAAAAGUAUUGCAACCCAAGCAUCAGAUUUUGCCUCAACUGCCUAGCCCAGAUGAUCAAUUUCAGAUUCCUGAGCAGAUUUUGGAUCAGAAAGUGGUUCGUCGUGGUUCGGGAUCUCUUGUUCAAGUCUUGAUCAAGUGGAAUGCUACGCCGAUCGAGAUGACCACCCGGGAGGAUAAAGUGACGCUGCAGCAAAAGUUUCCUAGAGCACCGGCUUGGGGGCAAGCCGUUUCUCAGGAGGGUGGGAUUGUCAGCGAUCCUGAGACGGGCCAAGAACCAAGCGAGGAGAAGAGUAGGCCCAAGCGACAGCCUCGCCUCCCGGCUCGGCUAGCUGGGCCAGAAUGGCCCUAG